AUACGGCGGAUCCGAGCGUUAUCCGGAUUUAUUGGGUUUAAAGGGUGCGCAGGCGGCCAUUUAAGUCAGCGGUUAAAUCGUGGGGCUCAACCCCAUUCUGCCGUUGAUACUGGGUGGCUUGAUUGCGGUCGAGGUUGGCGGAAUUCGUUGUGUAGCGGUGAAAUGCAUAGAUAUGACGAAGAACACCGAUUGCGUAGGCAGCUGACCAGACCGCAAAUGACGCUCAUGCACGAAAGUGCGGGGAUCGAACAGGAUUAGAUACCCUGGUAGUCCGCACAGUAAACGAUGAAUACUUGUUUUCGGCGAUAUAAUGUCGGAGGCAAAGCGAAAGCGAUAAGUAUUCCACCUGGGGAGUACGCCGGCAACGGUGAAACUCAAAUGAAUUGACGGGG
rnacentral:rRNA from 1 species